AUGAACGCUGGCGGCGCGCUUAACACAUGCGAGUCGAACGAGAACGUUCCUUCGGGGACUAGUAAAGUGGCAAACGGGUGAGUAACGCGUGAGUAUCUACCAUUUGGUGAAGGAUACCUUUGAGAAAUUGAAGUUAAUCCUGCAUACACUUGAAAAAGGAAAGGCGGCCUCUUGCUGUCGCCAAAUGAUGAACUCGCGUCUUAUUAGCUUGUUGGUAGGGUAAUGGCCUACCAAGGCGAUAAUGAGUAGCCGGCCUGAGAGGGUGUACGGCCACACUGGGACUGAGAUACGGCCCAGACUCCUACGGGAGGCAGCAGUGGGGAAUUUUGUGCAAUGGGCGAAAGCCUGACACAGCGACGCCGCGUGGAGGAUGAAGGUUUUAGGAUCGUAAACUCCUGUUAAAUGGGAAGAAAGACCUAGCUCUAAUACAGCUAGGGGAUGACGGUACCAUUAGAGAAAGUCCCGGCUAACUUCGUGCCAGCAGCCGCGGUAAUACGAGGGGGACAAGCGUUAUUCGGAGUAACUGGGCGUAAAGAGUGCGUAGGCGGCUUUUUUAGUCAGUUGUUAAAUUUCACGGCCUAACCGUGAGCAUGCGAUUGAAACUGGGGAGCUAGAGAUUGGAAGAGAGGGAUGGAAUUCUCGGAGUAGCGGUAAAAUGCGUAGAUCUCGAGAGGAACACCGAUGGCGAAAGCAGUCCCUUGGUCCAACACUGACGCUAAAGCGCGAAAGCGUGGGUAGCAAACAGGAUUAGAUACCCUGGUAGUCCACGCCGUAAACGAUGAUCACUAGAUGUGGGAUUCCUUCGGGGGUUCCGUGUCGAAGCUAACGCGUUAAGUGAUCCGCCUGGGGAGUACGGUCGCAAGACUAAAACUCAAAGGAAUUGACGGGGGCCCGCACAAGCGGUGGAACAUGUGGUUUAAUUCGACAUUACGCGAGAAACCUUACCUAGUCUUGACAUGCUUUUGACAGCUUUUGAAAGAAAGUUUCCUAGUUUACUAGGCAAAAGCACAGGUGCUGCAUGGCUGUCGUCAGCUCGUGUCGUGAGAUGUUGGGUUAAGUCCUUUAACGAGCGCAACCCUUGUCGUUAGUUGCUAGCCUUCGGGUGCACUCUAACGAGACUGCCUGGGGAACCAGGAGGAAGGUGGGGAUGACGUCAAGUCCUCAUGGCCUUUAUGUCUAGGGCAACACACGUGUUACAAUGGCAAGUACAGAGGGGAGCUAACCCGCGAGGUGGAGCAAAUCCCAUAAAACCUGUCUAAGUUCGGAUUGGAGUCUGAAAUUCGACUCCAUGAAGUUGAAAUCGCUAGUAAUCGCGCAUCAGAACGGCGCGGUGAAUACGUUCCCGGGCCUUGUACACACCGCCCGUC
rnacentral:rRNA from 1 species